rnacentral:rRNA from 1 species
GUAGGUGGCAAGCGUUGUCCGGAAUUAUUGGGCGUAAAGCGCGCGCAGGCGGUUCUUUAAGUCUGAUGUGAAAGCUCACGGCUCAACCGUGGAGGGUCAUUGGAAACUGGAGAACUUGAGUACAGAAGAGGAAAGCGGAAUUCCACGUGUAGCGGUGAAAUGCGUAGAGAUGUGGAGGAACACCAGUGGCGAAGGCGGCUUUCUGGUCUGUAACUGACGCUGAGGCGCGAAAGCGUGGGGAGCAAACAGGAUUAGAUACCCUGGUAGUCCACGCCGUAAACGAUGAGUGCUAAGUGUUAGGGGGGUUUUCCGCCCCCCUUAGUGCUGCAGCUAACGCAUUAAGCACUCCGCCUGGGAGUACGGCCGCAAGGCUG